GGUUGCUAAGCGACCUUUGCCAGCAUGAGGAGGGAUUCAACUCAUUGCAGCUUAAUUUUGGCUUAAAUAUCCCUGGCCUGCAAAGUAGGACUGUGGAACAGGUUGAUAACAGCAGCGUAACGAACUGACUUUGGAUGUCAAGUUUGUAAAUCAGCUUCACCAACAGAGGAAGAUCAAACCAGUCACCAAACCUCCAGGCAAUGGCCUGCAAGACAGAUGAGCGGAGGUGGUUGUUGAAGUGAAGAUGUAGCACUGUUUGCAGGCAUAUUGCUUUCCUCAUCUUGGGAAAGGUUUAAAACAGUAAUAGGAUAAUGAGAAUAAAAUGAUGUGCAACUUCAGUCUUCCAA